rnacentral:rRNA from 1 species
UACGUAGGGUGCGAGCGUUAAUCGGAAUUACUGGGCGUAAAGCGUGCGCAGGCGGUUCGUUGUGUCGGCGGUGAAAGCCCCGGGCUCAACCUGGGAAUGGCCGUUGAAACUGGCGAACUGGAGUGUGGCAGAGGGGGGUGGAAUUCCGCGUGUAGCAGUGAAAUGCGUAGAGAUGCGGAGGAACACCGAUGGCGAAGGCAGCCCCCUGGGCUGAACACUGACGCUCAGGCACGAAAGCGUGGGGAGCAACAGGAU